UCCCACAAAUCCUAAGAAGAGGAAACUACUUUGUGUAUCUGAAGAAAACGAAGUAUUGAUGGAAGAUGAUGAUGGCCCCAUCACUCAAGCAGACUUAGAAAGGUGGUUUGUUCAUGAUUGGGAUAAAAGAACUCCUAUAAAAAUCCCGACCGAUGAGUGCACUAAUGAAUUUUUACUGAGUGGCCUUUCCACAAAGGACAUGCCAGUGACCAAAGCCGAUUUAAUAGAUGUUCUAUGUGAUUACAUCAUGACAAUCCAAGAUGAUACGACAUUAGAGAUGACAUGGGUGCGAAGUUUCAACCCUUUUAAGAUAGAAAUAUCUGUCAAAGACCUGCAAAACGUAUUAAGGG
rnacentral:misc_RNA from 1 species